CGGCGUGCCUAACACAUGCAAGUCGAGCGAUCUUCUUCGGAAGAGAGCGGCGGACGGGUGAGUAACGCGUGGGUAACCUGCCCUGUACACACGGAUAACAUACCGAAAGGUAUGCUAAUACGGGAUAACAUAAGAAAUUCGCAUGUUUUUCUUAUCAAAGCUCCGGCGGUACAGGAUGGACCCGCGUCUGAUUAGCUAGUUGGUGAGGUAACGGCUCACCAAGGCGACGAUCAGUAGCCGACCUGAGAGGGUGAUCGGCCACAUUGGAACUGAGACACGGUCCAAACUCCUACGGGAGGCAGCAGUGGGGACUAUUGCACAAUGGGCGAAAGCCUGAUGCAGCGACGCCGCGUGAGCGAUGAAGGCCUUCGGGUCGUAAAGCUCUGUCCUCAAGGAAGAUAAUGACGGUACUUGAGGAGGAAGCCCCGGCUAACUACGUGCCAGCAGCCGCGGUAAUACGUAGGGGGCUAGCGUUAUCCGGAUUUACUGGGCGUAAAGGGAGCGUAGGCGGAUUUUUAAGUGGGAUGUGAAAUACCCGGGCUCAACCUGGGUGCUGCAUUCCAAACUGGAAAUCUAGAGUGCAGGAGGGGAAAGUGGAAUUCCUAGUGUAGCGGUGAAAUGCGUAGAGAUUAGGAGGAACACCAGUGGCGAAGGCGGCUUACUGGACGGUAACUGACGUUGAGGCUCGAAAGCGUGGGGAGCAAACAGGAUUAGAUACCCUGGUAGUCCACGCCGUAAACGAUGACUACUAGGUGUCGGGCAGCAAAGCUGUUCGGUGCCGCAGCAAACGCAAUAAGCAUUCCACCUGGGGAGUACGUUCGCAAGAAUGAAACUCAAAGGAAUUGACGGGGACCCGCACAAGCGGUGGAGCAUGUGGUUUAAUUCGAAGCAACGCGAAGAACCUUACCAAGUCUUGACAUCCCCCUGACCGGACAGUAAUGUGUCCUUUCCUUCGGGACAGGGGAGACAGGUGGUGCAUGGUUGUCGUCAGCUCGUGUCGCGAGAUGUUGGGUUAAGUCCCGCAACGAGCGCAACCCUUAUCCUUAGUAGCCAGCAGUAAGAUGGGCACUCUAGGGAGACUGCCAGGGAUAACCUGGAGGAAGGUGGGGAUGACGUCAAAUCAUCAUGCCCCUUAUGAUUUGGGCUACACACGUGCUACAAUGGCGUAAACAAAGAGAAGCGAGCCUGCGAGGGGGAGCGAAUCUCAAAAAUAACGUCCCAGUUCGGACUGUAGUCUGCAACCCGACUACACGAAGCUGGAAUCGCUAGUAAUCGCGGAUCAGAAUGCCGCGGUGAAUACGUUCCCGGGUCUUGUACACACCGCCCGUCACACCAUGGGAGUCAGCAACGCCCGAAGUCAGUGACUCAACCGCAAGGAGAGAGCUGCCGAAGGCGGGGCAGGUAACUGGG
rnacentral:rRNA from 1 species